UGGGGAAUUUUGGACAAUGGGCGAAAGCCUGAUCCAGCCAUGCCGCGUGAGUGAAGAAGGCCUUCGGGUUGUAAAGCUCUUUUAGUCGGGAAGAAAGAGUUGCAAUGAAUAAUUGAGAUUUAUGACGGUACCGACAGAAAAAGCACCGGCUAACUACGUGCCAGCAGCCGCGGUAAUACGAAGGGUGCGAGCGUUAAUCGGAAUUACUGGGCGUAAAGGGUGCGCAGGCGGUCUUGCAAGUCAGAUGUGAAAGCCCCGGGCUUAACCUGGGAAUUGCGUUUGAAACUACAAGACUAGAGUGCAGGAGAGGGGAGUGGAAUUCCAUGUGUAGCAGUGAAAUGCGUAGAGAUGUGGAAGAACACCGAUGGCGAAGGCAGCUCCCUGGGUUGAAACUGACGUUCAUGCACGAAAGCGUGGGGAGCAAACA
rnacentral:rRNA from 1 species